rnacentral:rRNA from 1 species
CUGCAUGGCUGUCGUCAGCUCGUGUCGUGAGAUGUUGGUUAAGUCCGCAACGAGCGCAACCCUUGUCAUUAGUUGCCAUCAUUUGGUUGGGCGACUCUAAUGAGACUGCCGGUGACAAACCGGGAGGAAGGUGGGAUGACGUCAAAUCAUCAUGCCCCUUAUGACCUGGGCUACACACGUGCUACAAUGGUUGGUACAACGAGUUGCGAGUCGGUGACGGCGAGCUAAUCUCUUAAAGCCAAUCUCAGUUCGGAUUGUAGGCUGCAACUUGCCUACAUGAAGUCGGAAUCGCUAGUAAUCGCGGAUCAGCACGCCGCGGUCGAAUACGUUCCGGGCCUU